UGUGUGUGUGUGUGUGUGUGUGUGUGUGUGGAUUAGACGAGUCCACUUAGUGGCUACCACUUAUUUCUAUGCUAAAAUCCAUAGAAUGUAUAUAUCAUAAGGAAGAAACAUUUCCUUAUGUAAUUCCUUCAGAGGAAAGGAUCUCCUUUUCAUCUCUGGGGCUACAUUUGACUGAUUGUUCUGUCUCAGUCAAUAAAUCAUAGUGAUGCAACCUCUGAGUAAACAACUUCACUGUUGUGUCGAAGAAAGAGCCUUGCCGCACUUGUCUGAUUUGAUUUGUAAAACGGGCGAUUUUGCAUCUAAUUUGUGAAUAUUUUGUUGUUUGAAAAUGGCAGGAUGAAUUUUAAAUGGCAAAACAGACAGGAACUGCUUUAAAUCUGCAGAUAAAUGAAGACGGAGCAGCUUGAAGUUGGUAUUUUUCCUUUUAUUGUAACCCACUUUGUGGGAGGAGUGGUAUGACCUCAAAUAAGGCUGCCCAAAGAGAAUUUUUAAAUGUAUUCUGAUUGCAACUGGGUCUCAGCAUUGCAUGAAAAACAUCUUCUCAGAAAGCUGUGUUCCUGCUGCAAAGAUAACUUUCCAGUAAAAGUUUGGGUUUCCAUUUUCAUGAUGUUUAACAUGAUGUCGGGCCAACUUCAAGAACUGGUGAGUUCUAACUGACAUGGGGCUCCACACUGUGGUACGUCACCACACAUCAUCAUGGUCUGGGGGGGGGGUCACCUGGCAAA